UACGGGGGGGGCAAGCGUUGUUCGGAAUUACUGGGCGUAAAGGGCUCGUAGGUGGCCAACUAAGUCAGACGUGAAAUCCCUCGGCUUAACCGGGGAACUGCGUCUGAUACUGGAUGGCUUGAGUUCGGGAGAGGGAUGCGGAAUUCCAGGUGUAGCGGUGAAAUGCGUAGAGAUCCGGAAGAACACCGGUGGCGAAGGCGGCCUGCUGGGCAGUAGCUGACGCUGAGGCGCGACAGCGUGGGGAGCAAACAGG
rnacentral:rRNA from 1 species